GGUUUCUUGGCGCAGUUGGUUAGCGCGUCUCCUUAACAAGCAUUUGUUGUUAAGUACGGAGGAGGUCGCCGGUUCGAACCCGGCAGAAAUCA